rnacentral:rRNA from 1 species
GAUGAACGCUGGCGGCGUGCCUAAUACAUGCAAGUCGAGCGAACAGACGAGGAGCUUGCUCCUUUGACGUUAGCGGCGGACGGGUGAGUAACACGUAGGUAACCUACCUAUAAGACUGGGAUAACUUCGGGAAACCGGAGCUAAUACCGGAUAAUAUUUCGAACCGCAUGGUUCGAUAGUGAAAGAUGGCUUUGCUAUCACUUAUAGAUGGACCUGCGCCGUAUUAGCUAGUUGGUAAGGUAAUGGCUUACCAAGGCAACGAUACGUAGCCGACCUGAGAGGGUGAUCGGCCACACUGGAACUGAGACACGGUCCAGACUCCUACGGGAGGAAGCAGUAGGGAAUCUUCCGCAAUGGGCGAAAGCCUGACGGAGCAACGCCGCGUGAGUGAUGAGGGUCUUCGGAUCGUAAAACUCUGUUAUUAGGGAAGAACAAACGUGUAAGUAACUGUGCACGUCUUGACGGUACCUAAUCAGAAAGCCACGGCUAACUACGUGCCAGCCGCCGCAGUAACAC